GGGAGCUGAGGGCUGGGAAAGUACCUGCGAGGCGAAGGAGCCCGGCUCUCCCUCCGUGCUGGGCAAGGCGCCCUGAGGGGGCACCAGCCGUGCUGUGGGUGGUGGAGGCCGGCGGUAGAGCUGCCCUGUAGCCAGAAAGGACACACUGGAACUGCUGCCUUGACCACUCUACUGAAGGCUGAUGCUCUUGGCUGGCUGGAUUAAAUGCUCACAAUUAACUUCACCUCUCUGUGGAUGAAUGGUAGAAGGCCAUAAUAUCCAGCAGAGAGAAGCUGUGAUGUGAUACAGGUGUCUUUGAAUCCUGCAGGAACUGAGUGGCUUCUUGCUGCGAAAUAAGAGUAUGGAAAGUGUUGAACAACUGCCCGCGGUGCAGUGAGGCCGAGAUCCCUGGACAAACAUACAGGAAGGCAAACGGUGAAGACAGCAAUGUCUCACCUCAGGGGACUGGGAAAAGUGUGGUGAUAUCUGGGCACAGAGAACCCACAUCAGUUGGACUCUCCUCUGAAGCACAGGUGAAAGAAGACACCACAUAAGCGUUGUCUGCGGGGAAAUCUGCUCUGAUGAACGAAGAGCUCUGAAUGGCAAGUUUGCUUCUCCUGGAAGGAUACUUUACCAGCCACGCUGUUACUACUCAUGGGCACAUAAGACUUGAAAAUGAGGAACAGGGGCUUCACCUGGAGUAGCAGAUUCUGAACGCUUGUCCGUGUAGGAUUGACUUGCAGAUAGUUACCCACUCCUGACUCCAAGCAGCCAUCAUGAGAUCUGCUGUGGGCUUAUAUCAUGGCUACUGGUUUAUGAUGUCCCAGAGCUAAGAAAAGGAUAGCUGAAACAAAGCAGACUAGUACUUGAACACAAACGAUCCUGCUGAGAGGCUGAGAAUCAGUGCUCAUCAUUUCCCCCUCACUGACACUUGAAUAUAUUUUCCCAGGAGAAAACAUUAAACAAAAAGAGAAAGAGAGAAAGGGAGAGAGAGAGGGAGAGGGAGAGUGACUGAGCUAGCUUUUCAAAGCCUACUUCUCAACCUGCCCACAUCAAAAUAAGAGACAACUGGCCCUUUGAAGUCCAGGACACAGACUCCUCUACCAGCCCAUGUGGAAAUAAAAGAAUCCAGCUUUAUAAAUCACACAGAUUUCUCACCUUGCCCACAUCAAAA